rnacentral:rRNA from 1 species
AAGCGGAGGAAAAGAAACCAACAGGGAUUGCCCCAGUAGCGGCGAGUGAAGCGGCAAAAGCUCAGAUUUGAAAUCGCGUUAGCGAGUUGUAGAGUGUAGGUGGGAGUGUCUGUGGAGCACGGUGUCCAAGUCCCUUGGAACAGGGUGCCUUAGAGGGUGAGAGCCCCGUGGGGUGCUGUGCGAAGCUUUGAGACCCCGCUGACGAGUCGAGUUGUUUGGGAAUGCAGCUCUAAGUGGGUGGUAAAUUCCAUCUAAGGCUAAAUAUUGGCGAGAGACCGAUAGCGAACAAGUACUGUGAAGGAAAGAUGAAAAGCACUUUGAAAAGAGAGUGAAACAGCACGUGAAAUUGUUGAAAGGGAAGGGUAUUGGGCCCGACAUGGGGAGUGCGCAUCGUUGUCUCUUGUAGGCGGCGCUCUGGGCGCUCUCUGGGCCAGCAUCGGUUCCUGCUGCGAGAGAAUGGGUGCCGGAAAGUGGCUCUUCGGAGUGUUAUAGCCGGCGCCAGAUGUCGCGUGUGGGGACCGAGGACUGCGGCUUCUGUCUCGGAUGCUGGCACAACGGCGCAAUACCGCCCGUCUUGA